GUCUUUUAGAAAAUAAUUUAAAGUCUAAUCUGCCCACUGAUUGUUAAUUGAAGGGCUGCAGUAUAUUGACUGUACAAAGGUAGCAUAAUCAUUAGUCAUUUAAUUGAUGACUUGUAUGAAGGAUUGGAUGAAAUAUAAACUGUCUCUUAUUUAAUUAUAAAAUUUAAUUUUUUUAUCAAAAAGUUAAAAUAGCUUAAAAAGACGAGAAGACCCUAUAGAGUUUUAUUAAUAUAUUAAUUAAGAUUAUAUGUAAAAUAAAUUUAAAAUUGAAUUUAUUAAUUUUAUUGGGGUGAUAAAAAAAUAUAUUUAACUUUUUUUAAAAUAAAACAUUUAUAAGUGGUUAAAUGAUCCAAUAAUGUUGAUUAUAAGAAUAAAUUACCUUAGGGAUAACAGCGUAAUUUUUUUUUUUAGUUCAAAUAAAAAAAAGAGUUUGCGACCUCGAUGUUGGAUUAAGAUAAAAUUUAAAUGCAGAAGUU
rnacentral:rRNA from 1 species